rnacentral:rRNA from 1 species
AGAGUUUGAUCCUGGCUUAGGAUGAACGCUAGCGACAGGCUUAACACAUGCAAGUCGAGGGGCAGCAUAAAAGUAGCAAUACGUUUGGUGGCGACCGGCGCACGGGUGAGUAACGCGUAUGCAACCUACCUAUCAGAGGGGAAUAACCCGGCGAAAGUCGGACUAAUACCGCAUAAAACAGGGGCACCGCAUGGUGAUAUUUGUUAAAGAAAUUCGCUGAUAGAUGGGCAUGCGUUCCAUUAGGUAGUUGGUGAGGUAACGGCUCACCAAGCCGACGAUGGAUAGGGGAACUGAGAGGUUGGUCCCCCACACUGGUACUGAGACACGGACCAGACUCCUACGGGAGGCAGCAGUGAGGAAUAUUGGUCAAUGGGCGGGAGCCUGAACCAGCCAAGUCGCGUGAAGGAAAGAAGGAUCUAUGGUUCGUAAACUUCUUUUGCAGGGGAAUAAAGUGCAGGACGUGUCCUGUUUUGUAUGUACCCUGAGAAUAAGGAUCGGCUAACUCCGUGCCAGCAGCUGC